rnacentral:rRNA from 1 species
UUUCCGGUUGAUCCUGCCGGAGGCCACUGCUAUGGGGGUCCGACUAAGCCAUGCGAGUGGUGGGCACCCGGGGGGCAACCCUUGGGAGACCCCGCGCACGGCUCAGUAACACGUCGUCAACCUGCCCUGGGGCGGGGGAUAACCUCGGGAAACUGAGGACAAUACCCCAUAGGCAAGAGGUGCUGGAAUGCCCUUUUGCUGAAAGCCUUCGGGCGCCCCAGGAUGGGACGGCGGCCUAUCAGGUAGUUGGUGGUGUAACGGACCACCAAGCCUACGACGGGUAGCCGCCCUGAGAGGGGGAGCGGCGAGAUGGGCACUGAGACAAGGGCCCAGGCCCUACGGGGCGCAGCAGGCGCGAAACCUCCGCAAUGGGCGAAAGCCUGACGGGGGGACCCCCAGUGCCGCUGGCCUUCUGGCCGGCGGCUUUUCUGGAGUCUAAACAGCUCCAGGAAUAAGGGCUGGGUAAGUCGGGUGCCAGCCGCCGCGGUAAUACCCGCAGCCCAAGUGGUGGCCGCUAUUAUUGGGCCUAAAGCGCUCGUAGCCGGAUCGGCAAGUCCCCCGUGAAAUCGGCCAGUAAACUGGUCGGCGUGCGGGGGAUACUGCUGGUCUAGGGGCCGGGAGACGCCAGGGGUACUCCGGGGGUAGGGGUGAAAUCCUGUAAUCCCCGGGGGACCACCGGUGGCGAAGGCGCCUGGCGAGAACGGACCCGACGGUGAGGGGCGAAGGCUGGGGGAGCAAAGGGGAUUAGAUACCCCCGUAGUCCCAGCAGUAAAGGAUGCGGGCUAGGUGUCGGGUGUCCCUAGAGGACGUCCGGGUGCCGGAGGGAGCCGUUAAGCCCGCCGCCUGAUAAGUACGGCCGCAGGCUGAACUUAAAGAAUUGGCGGGGGAGCACCACACCGAGUGGUCCUGCGGGUUCAUUGGAUUCC